UACGGGGGGGGCAAGCGUUGUUCGGAAUUACUGGGCGUAAAGGGCUCGUAGGCGGCCAACUAAGUCAGACGUGAAAUCCCUCGGCUUAACCGGGGAACUGCAUCUGAUACUGGAUGGCUUGAGUUCGGGAGAGGGAUGUGGAAUUCCAGGUGUAGCGGUGAAAUGCGUAGAUAUCUGGAGGAACACCGGUGGCGAAGGCGGCAUCCUGGACCGAUACUGACGCUGAGGAGCGAAAGCCAGGGGAGCAAACGGG
rnacentral:rRNA from 1 species